AUUGAACGCUGGCGGCAUGCCUUACACAUGCAAGCCGAACGCAACCGGCCCUUCCGGGGGCCCGGGGGGGGGCGACGGGGUGGGUAUUGCACCGGAAGUCACCCGGGGGCGGGGGAAAACGGCCGGAAAGGCGGCUAAAUACGCAUGGAAUCGGAAGGACCAAAGCGGGGGACCUUGGGGUCUCGCGCCCCCGCACGGGCGGAUGCCCGUUUAGGCUAGUUGGUGGGUUAAGGGCCCACCAAGGCGACGAUCGGUAGCGGGUCUGAGAGGCCGAUCGGCCACACUGGGACUGAGACACGGCCCAGACUCCUACGGGAGGCAGCAGUGGGGAAUCUUGGACAAUGGGCGCAAGCCUGAUCCAGCAAUGCCGCGUGGGUGAAGAAGGCCUUCGGGUUGUAAAGCCCUUUCGGCGGGGAAGAAAUCGGUCAGGCGAAUAGUCUGGCCGGAUGACGGUACCCGCAGAAGAAGCACCGGCUAACUACGUG
rnacentral:rRNA from 1 species